CACGUAGGCACCAAGCGUUGUCCGGAUUUAUUGGGCGUAAAGAGCUCGUAGGCGGUUCAGUAAGUCAGGUGUGAAAUCUUUGGGCUUAACCCAAAGCGUGCACUUGAUACUGCUGUGACUUGAGUUCGGUAGGGGAGUGGGGAAUUCCUAGUGUAGCGGUGAAAUGCGCAGAUAUUAGGAGGAACACCGGUGGCGAAGGCGGCUCACUGGCCCGAUACUGACGCUGAGGUGCGAAAGCGUGGGGAGCAAACAGG
rnacentral:rRNA from 1 species